ACUGCUCAGUAACACGUGGACAACCUACCCUAAGGAGGGGGAUAACCCCGGGAAACUGGGGAUAAUACCCCAUAGACUAGAGAAGCUGGAAUGCUCUCAAGUCCAAAGGUCCGCCGCCUUAGGAUGGGUCUGCGGUCGAUUAGGUUGUUGUUGGGGUAACGGCCCAACAAGCCCGUGAUCGAUACGGGUUGUGAGAGCAAGAGCCCGGAGAUGGAUUCUGAGACACGAAUCCAGGCCCUACGGGGCGCAGCAGGCGCGAAAACUUUACAAUGCGGGAAACCGUGAUAAGGGAACCCCGAGUGCCCGUAAAUUCGGGCUGUCCAUCAGCGUAAAUAACUGGUGAAGAAAGGGCCGGGCAAGACCGGUGCCAGCCGCCGCGGUAAUACCGGCGGCUCGAGUGGUGGCCACUAUUAUUGGGCUUAAAGCGUCCGUAGCUUGGUUGUUAAGUCUCUUGGGAAAUCUACCGGCUCAACCGGUAGGCGUUCAGGAGAUACUGGCAAUCUAGGGACCGGGAGAGGUGAGAGGUACUCCAGGGGUAGGAGUGAAAUCCUGUAAUCCUUGGGGGACCACCUGUGGCGAAGGCGUCUCACUAGAACGGCUCCGACAGUGAGGGACGAAAGCUGGGGGAGCAAACCGGAUUAGAUACCCGGGUAGUCCCAGCUGUAAACGAUGCGCGUUAGGUGUAUCGGUGACCACGAGUCACCGAGGUGCCGAAGGGAAACCGUGAAACGUGCCGCCUGGGAAGUACGGUCGCAAGGCUGAAACUUAAAGGAAUUGGCGGGGGAGCAC
rnacentral:rRNA from 4 species